GCCAUGUUUUCUGAUGCUUGAGCCAGACUGGGCUGGGGAUGUUUUUCUCCAAGACUGAGGAAAGCGAAAUCAAAAUUUUACUUUUUCAGUCGCUGGCUUUUUCCUCUCUUUUUUCUUGUUUAAUUCUCACAGAAAUAGGGUUAAGAUACAAGAGGAGCUCUUCCAUCUUAAAUAACUUCUUACUGAAAAUUACCACAGUAAGUAUGGCCAGACAAAAAGGGGGUUUUGGGGUUUUUGUCCUCCUGUUUUAGUUUUUGUUGUCGUUGUUGUGUUGUUUUGUUUUGGGUUUUUUUCUUACAGAUAAAGAGAAUUAAACAAGUUAAAAUUCUAGUCUUGCUUACAGCUAUGUGAAAAGGCAGGUAUGAACAAUUUAUUCCUUUUUCUGCAAGUUUUACAACUACUUUAAAAAUAUUUUUCGUGGUAAUUGUGAUGUAUGACUAAAUUAACCAAUGUUUUCAUGUUCUUCAAUUUCACAUGCCUCAUUUGGGAUGAGAUAUUAUGCAAUGCACUUCUGUGUUCCUCAUUCUGAUAAUUUUGAAGUUUGGUAAUCUUAUCAAACCUGUGUUGUUCCUGAAAAGCCACAGAGACUAUUGAAAUAGAUAAUGUGCAAAGGAAAGAAAGAAGGGGGUUUAACAUUGUCCCUUGAAAUGAAGCAGGCACAUCCUUCACAUCAUCUCUACCCUGGAACUUGCAGACCAACAAAAAAAGAACCCAAAAGUAUGUAGAGGUCUGUACUCCAUUUUAUUUCUUCAGUUCCCAUAAAAGCAACAUUGAAAAUAUGUUGCUUGAGUUUUUGCCUGAGCAAUUGGUUUCUUUAGUCAACCUGGAAUGUCUGGAGAGUUCCCACCUAUUCAAUAAAUGUCUUAAGCCUCUGCAGUGAUUUGACCUUAA